AGCGGAAGUGCGCGAGCGGCCGCGGCGGGAUCGCGGCUUCGCUGGCCGGUCUCCGGCUGAGCUGGCGCGUCUCUAGGCCAGCGUCCCCAUUCCUCGGGCCGGGUGUGCCUCCUCGCGUGCCCGUCCACACUUCUCUCCUGCGGGCUUAGAGCGCGUUGUUAGAACUGACAGCCAGUCCGCAGAUCGUAAGCCAGAGCCUGCGGAAGUCUCCGAUGAAUCAGUGUUUUAGCUUUCGCUCCUGAAUGUAAAAUUCAUAGUGGAUUCUUAUCCUGAAAUCGGGAUAAACGAGGCCUCCGUGUUGACGGGUCUGCACACAUGUUCCUCUUCUGUGACAGUGGUUGUGGUUCAUUGGCCCUUGAGGGGGAUUGGGGAACUCAGGUGGGGGCCCCCAGGGGCCCAAAUCUGGGUUGCCCUCCCUCUUGAUCAUUCUGUCAGGGCCCCAGGGACUGGGAGAACCUUCUGGAAGGACAGAUCUCUGGACUGACAUGCAAAGUGUUAGGUGUUAGAGUCCUGGUGAAAGGAAUGCAGACUCAGAGGCAGGUGGGUUCCAGUCCAGCUUCACCGUUACUGCCUGUGACACUGCUGGCCCGGCCAGCUCUUCCUGCCUUUGCGGGCAGAAGUGCCUUUUCCGAGAGUCUGCACAAUACUGAUCCUUCUGGGAGGUCAGUCAUGGGUGUGAGAGGCUUGCAGGGGUUUGUGGCAAGCAGCUGCCCACAUGUAUGUACAACAGUGAAUUUCAAAGAGCUGGCCGAGCAGCACCAAAGCAAGCAUCCCGGAUGCACGCCCACCAUCGUGGUGGACGCCAUGUGCUGUCUCAGGUACUGGUACACCCCUGAGUCAUGGGUUUGCGGUGGCCAGUGGAAGGAAUACUUUUCUGUCCUGCGAGAUUUUGUGAGAACUUUUACAGACGUUGGCAUCAAGUUGGUAUUCUUCUUUGAUGGUAUGGUGGAGAAGGAGAAGAGAGAUGUGUGGGUGAAACGGAGACUCAAGAACAACAGGGAGAUUGCCAGGAUUUUCCAUUAUAUCAAGACGCACAGGGAACAGCCCAGCAGGAGCAUGUUCUUCAUCCCCUCGGGGCUGGCCAUCUUCACGCGGUUUGCUCUGAAGACGCUGGGUCAGGAAACCCUGUGCUCCUUACAGGAGGCUGACUAUGAGGUGGCUUCUUACGGCCUCCAGAACAACUGUCUAGGGAUCCUCGGAGAAGACACCGACUACUUAAUUUAUGACUCCUGUCCCUACUUUUCCAUCAGUGAGCUCUGCCUGGACAGCCUCAGCACUGUCAUGCUCUGUAGGGAGAAGCUCUGUGCGAGUCUGGGCCUCUGCCUGGCAGACCUUCCCCUUCUGGCCUGCCUGCUGGGCAACGACGUCGUCCCGGAAGGCAUGUUUGAAACCUUUCGGUACAAGUGCUUGUCCUUCUAUACCUCUGUGAAAGAGAACUGUGACAGGAGAGGCAACGUCAUCUUAGCUGUAGCAGACCACAUAGCUAAAGUCCUUCGCUUAUAUCAAGGUGAGAAAAAGCUGGAAGAGAUGUUACCUUUGGGACCAAACAAAGCUCUUUUUUAUAAGGGGAUGGCAUCAUAUCUUUUACCAGGACAGAAAUCUCCAUGGAUUUCCCCAAAAGCCAAAGCUAUAACAACUUUGGACAAGCAGAUUAUAUCCGUGAGUUCAGACCCUGAAUCCAAGCAAGGAAGUCCUGAGAGUUCAGACCCUGAAUCCAAGCAAGGAAGUCCUGAGAGUACAGAUUCUGGAUCCAAGCAAGGAAGUCCUGAGAGUACAGAUUCUGGAUCCAAGCAAGGAAGUCCUGUGUGUACAGACCCUGAAUCUAAGCAAGAAAGUCCCAUGUGUACAGACCCUGAGUCUAAGCAGGAAGAUCCCAUGUGUACAGACCCUGAAUCCAAGCAGGAAGUUCCCAUGUGUACAGACCCUGAAUUCAAGGAGGAAGACCCCAUGAAUAUGGAGCCUGAAAUCAAGCGACAAGUAACCAUGGUUUCAGACACCGAAAUCUUAAAGGUUGCUAGAGCCCAGCACGUGCAGGCGGAGAGCUACCUGGUGUACAACAUCAUGGCCAGUGGGGAGAUCGAGUGCAGCAACACCUUGGAGGAUGCCCUGGACCAGGCCCUGCCCAGCCAGGCCUUCGUCUACCGCCCGGUGCGGCAGCGUGUGUACUCCCUCCUGCUGGCGGGUGGCCAUGAUGGUGCCAGCUGCCCUCCCGUGCAGGAGUGGUUUGUGUACUCUGGGAACCCGCUAACGCACCCGGACCUCGUGAGGCCUCUGCAGAUGAGCCUCCCAGGGGGAACGCCUAGUUUGAAACUGCUGUGGCUGAACCAUGAGCCCGGAACCCAAGCACGGCGUGUAGAGGUGCUCCUCGCCUGUUUCGACCUCUCCUCCUCGAGCGAAGAGCUGCAGGCUGUGGAGAGCCCCUUUCAAGGGCUGUGCUGCCUCCUCGCCUACCUGUUUGUGCAGGUGGACACACUGUGCUUGGAGGACCUGCACGCUUUCAUCGCUCAGGCCCUGUGCCUCCCAGGGAAGUCAGCUGGGCAUCUCGCAGACGUACAGCUCGAUCGCGUGGACCCCAGAGCCGUGCAACUGGGCUCCCUCCUGGUCCGCGGCCUGACCAUGCUACUGCUGGUCAACAGCGCGUGCGGCUUCCCCUGGAGCACGAGUGACCUCAUGCCUUGGAACGUCUUUGACGGGAAGCUGUUUCACGAGAAGUACCUGCAGACUGAGAAGGGAUACACGGUGGAGGCCCUCGUGGAGCAGAACAGGGCGCGGCUCACCCAGUUCCACCAGCUGAAGUCCGUGGUGUGCAAGGCCUGCCUGCGGGAGGACCGGCGCAUCGCCAGCCGGCAGCUCUGGCAGCCACUCCACUCAGGGAGGCGGGGAAGACCGGGAUCUGGCGCCCAUAGGACAAGCUUCGGAAACAGCCGGUCAGACCAAGGACAGCACUGGAGAGAGCAGGGCCCAGGAAGCAGACAGCAGGAGCCGGACCCGUGGAGAAGGGGCUCCUCCUCUGGGUAAGUCACCCCUUCCGUCCUCAGAGUGCGCCGUCCACCAGGCACCGACGUGAGACACACAGCCACAGCAUAGGCCACGCCAGGGGCCAGACGUGAAAGGGAGCCAGGUGUCAGGUCCUGCGGACAGGCCCCUCCCUAAGCUGACUUGGUUUCCAGAAAAGUCUUUUUUCUCUAGAAAAAGGUUGGUGAGAACAGAUGGUGAGUCUGGACUUGAAACCCUGGCAGCACCUUCCUUGUCAUCGGAGCCAUGGCUGUUCUGCCUGGAGGGGACGGGCUCGGGGUCCAGGCCUCGCUUUCCGCAGGGAGGGAGGGAGGGAGGGCAUCCUGCCCAGCUCCUCCGCAGGCCCGUGGGGAGCCUGUGGGCUGGUGCUCAGAGGUGUCGCUCCCUCCCAUCCCAGCACCCCUGGACCUGUGUCCUCUCUCAGAUUCUGACCACAGUCCUCACAGGUCACGCUCCCAACUGUCUGCUUGGGUCCUCGCUUCCUCCCUUCACUUCACUGGGAGUGUGUGCUGUCGGGCGUGUGCCGACGGGCGGGUCUCGGCCCAGGCUGCAGGCCUCCAGCAGGGGUUCCCUCUUGGAGAGGAGGGCGCAGUGAGUGUCAGGAGCCUGAUCGGGGUGUCUGCUGCUCUUGGUCGUUGGGCCCUGGAGAGCCCUUAGCAUUCAAGACAUUUAAAAGGAGCCGAGUCCCAAGCAGUCCCCGCUGACAGGCUUUCCAGGAAACCCCAGAGGUGGCAUGCUGAGCCGGGUGACCUCUGGAGCCUUGGUAACGACUAGAAGUUGAAAGCCAGGCCCUUCGCAGCAGCCAUGGCCUAAACCUGGGGGAGGGGUGACUGCCUGACUGACCCCCAGCUCCCAGAAGGACUCCUGCACGGCCCCCCCACCCCCCGCCCCGGCUGCCCUCCUCCAAGCAAGAGCCCUGCAGGCAGCUCAGGGCGUGGAGCCCCGGCCUGUCUUGUCCUGAACCCCGACCUGGCAUUUCCCGGACGUGGGUGCCGUCUCCAGGGGUGUCAUGCGUCUGUGUUUCUGACGUGUGAAGUAGCCUCGCUUCCUGCAGCUCCUCUGUACGGAUGGUAGCAGAUCUGGCUGCUCUUCAGGCAUGUCUGGUAGGACCUACAACCUGAUUUCCCAGGUUUGGAAAUACCCUCUUUUCAUUUCUCUCAGGGGUGCUUUCUGUCUAAAUCCUAACGUUUUGUUCCUUUUGUUUCUGCUGCCUCAAAGUGUCUUUUUGCUGCUCAUUUGUACACUUUGAAGUAAGCUCUCGGCCCCUAGAUGUCGGUCGGCCCCAGGAUGAGCCUCUUCCUUCCUCACAGCUCAGGUCUCUCGGGUCAGGGAGCUGUCUGUGCCGUCAGCAAGCGUAGCUGUUGGCCGAGGGGAGGUGGGGGCGUGUCUGCACUCGUUUCCAGUGUUUGGUCGCUCCCCAGUGGAGGUGAGGACUGAAAAUAAAUAAAUAAAGCAAGUGAUGUGCAGAGGCCACAGCUAGAGCGUCAUGUUCAACAUGGAAAGGUGGGAAACGUCCUCCAAGGAGUAAGACGGGUGCCAGCUCUCACCAGUUCUAGUCGCCAUUGUUCUGGAAGUUCUAACCAGAGCAAUGGGGCAGUGAAAAUAAACAAAAGGCAUUCACAGUGCAAGGAGAGGCAGUGUCUCUGUUUUUAGAUGACAUGACCUCACAUAUAGAAAAUCCUAAGGACGCCCCCCAAAACUGUCAGAACUACUAAAUGAAUUCAGUAAAGUUGCAGGAUACAAAACCAACAUACAAACACCAAUUGCGUUUCUAUACACUAAUAAAAGACUCAAAAAAAAGACUAAGAAAAACAAUCCUAUUUACAAUAGCAUCCAAAAGAACAAAAUACUUAGAAGUAAUGCUACUGAGGAGGUGAAAGAUCUGUGCGCGGAGAACUGCAACCGGGAGGCGACACCUGUGGUCCAACUGACCUUCUGCAGGACCCCAGGCCCUCUCGGCUGGAGACAUCCCUUCAGACUUGGACGUGUGACAGGAAGCAGACACAUCCUGCUUAGGGACCCUUGGGCACCGAGGUUCUCACAUCACCAGCACUCGGCACCGGGGACAAAGCUGUUCUGGCUCCUUCCCCCGCCAGCGAUCAGAGGGGAACUCUGGAACUCGGGUGGACGGCCUGCUGGCGCGUGGCAUCCCCGCAGCCUCACCCCACACGGCCUGCCUUUGAUGAGGGUGGUUGUAUGUGUGAGAUGCCACGGGGGUGGUUGCAGGGCAGUCGUUACAGCUGCUGGUCUGACCAGCCUGGAGAGAAACCUGCAGCCACGGGCCACGGAUAGGAGUGUCUCCCGCCAGCGGCCUCGGGCUCGCACUGAGGGUAGAGCUGCUGCUCCACAGUGGCUCAUCUCAGAGGCGGCCCAGGCCCUGGCUAAGGGCCCUCGUCCUGGUUUACUGGGCACACACAGCAUUCUGCUGGAUUCCUUGUUCAGAUUUGUCAGAAAUGCUGUUAGUCGCCUUAGCUGGUUUGGCUCAGUGGACAGAGCAUCGGCCUGUGGACGGAAGGAUCCUGGGUUCAGUUCCGGUCAAGAGCACGUGCCCGGGUUGUAGGCUCGGUCCCCACUGUGGGGCGUGCAGGAGGCAGCUGAUCCAUGAUUCUCUCUCCAUUGUUGAUGUUUCUCCCUCUCCCUCUGAAAUCAGUAAAAAUGUAUUUUUAAAUAAAAAGAAAUGCCAUUGGUCACAAGGUUCGCGUUUCCACUGGGGAAGGAGAUGCCUGGAUUGUGGCCACCGUUUUGCCCAGACCUUGCUCGUGGCCACGAGGGCCCAUGAGGCCACGCGUCCCCUGCUUUGUCCGGCACAAGCAGCCCGACUGGGUCUGGCGUCUCCCUGCUGUGCUGUGAGGAAGGUCUGGUGCGUUGCCAAAUAUAAACAGUGAGAAAGUGUGACCGGCUUGGUUGCUUCUGGUUUUCGUUUGGGCCAUUCGCUCACGUUCUAGAUCCGAAAAGAACGAGGGUGGCAGUGAGGUCCGGCAGGGUCACCUGUGGCCUGGGCCGCCCCUCCUCCGCUCUGUGCCUCUGGUGGCAUCUCCAGU